rnacentral:rRNA from 1 species
UACAGAGGAGCCAAGCGUUGUCCGGAUUGACUGGGCGUAAAGGGCUCGUAGGCGGCCAACUAAGUCGGACGUGAAAUCCCCAGCUCAACCUGGGAACUGCGUCCGAUACUGGAUGGCUUGAAUCCGGGAGAGGGAUGCAGAAUUCCAGGUGUAGCGGUGAAAUGCGUAGAUAUCUGGAGGAAUACCGGUGGCGAAGGCGGCAUCCUGGACCGGCAUUGACGCUGAGGAGCGAAAGCUAGGGGAGCAAACGGGG